ensembl:lncRNA
UAAUUGUUAAUGGUAUUUCCUAAAUUAUAAGCCACUGUGAAUAGCUUCUCUUACUUCUGUUCCAAAAAUAAGUGCAAAAUAAGCCAGCAGCUUUGCAGUCAUAAAACCUAGGGACCUAAUUCUGAAGUAGCUCCAGCUGUGAAGUCUAGGAAAUCAGCCAGGCUGGUUUCAGCUCCUGUUAGAUUAUAAAUUUGACCUACCAAUAAAAGGAAUGGACACUUCGUUUAUCUUCCCAGAGGGUACUGAUAUACAUCUUAAAUGUGUCUGAUUGAAUCAAUAUACUGUCAAGGUGAAUGCCUUAGCAGUAGCACUGCAAUGCUGAUAAUCCACCAGCAGAUAAUGACAUUCUUAGAACAAUUCUAAGAGUGACACUUGAAUACAAACAUAUGGCAAAAGUUUUUAAAUUAGAUAAUAUUUUUGAACAGGUGGCUGGCAUAUCUUUCUUCAGUCCAGAAUGAGGUAAUGCCUCCUAUUCACUAGGCAUUGAGGAGAAAAUGAAUCUCCUACAAGCAUAAUUGCAGAUGCAUCUGGUGGUGAGUUUCUGUCUACGUACAUGUAAGACUCGCAAAUGGCAUGUUUUCUAGUCUGAUGCAAGGAACCAUCAUGAAUAUUGUCCUGAGUAUCAAAAUCAAUCAGGUAUUUUACCUUGAGGCUCAGAAGAUUCUGGAGACUAAGGACUUAAGAGAUUCUUCAAAUGGUUUCUCCGGUGUGCUCUGGAGCUGUAGUGUAAGCCCUGAGUAUUGAAAGAUGGUGCUUAAACCUUGCAUUAUUUCAAUCCAAGCUACAAACCCUAUGAAAACUAACUCAGGAACACGUGGGAGAAAGAUCACUGCUACUUUGUUGUAGGUAAGACCUAUGUAUUCUCAAACUAAGAAAUGUGUCACUCUUAGGUUGAAACUGUUUAAAUUAUAAUGUUAUUUAAAGUAUUUCCAAGUGUAUCUAAGACUGCUACAGGCAGGUCUUGGUGAAAUGCCAUUGUCCCAACAAUAUUAGAAAACAGAGAAGUCUCAAGAAUUUUGUCCCUGCUUUGUGUUAGAAAAAAUGAAGCAUUAGAAAAACUCUGGGAAACCGUAUAAGUUUUACCAUUGAUUUGAAUAAUAAGUCCUUGAAAUAAUCACUUUCAAAGAGAUAAGUACUUAGGUUUUUAAAGAAUUCUUAUCCUGAGUAACUGGUUGCUACCAGAUUAAAUGAAACAUCACUUUGCCUUUUCUAACAUACAUCACUAAAAUUUUUGUUCCACUGGAAAUUCACAGCUGAAUUUGGAAUGAAAAAUCUUCAAAUUUUGGACUUUCCCAUAGGGCAAGAAUACAGGAUACAGUUAAAUUUCUUUUCCUUUUAAUACUUGGUGUCAGUUAUUGAUUGAUUCCAGGUACUCUGUUUAUUUCCUUUAGUACUCUCUUAAUUAUUUUGUGUGAUUUAUGUAUGUGCCAAGCAGGCAGUGGGUACUGGUGAGUAAUCCAAGUUCUGUCUCUGGCUGCGUGCAGGCAGGCUGAAGCCGGUGGCUUUUCACUUGGACUACAAAGAGGAGAGCUGGAUGUACACAGCAGUUGGACCUGGCGCUGAGGGACAUGGUUUAGUGGGUGACAUUGGUGGUAGAGCAAUGGUUGCACCAGAUGAUCUUGGCGGUCUUCUCCAA